rnacentral:pre_miRNA from 1 species
UGUUAAAAUUUCAUCCAUUUCUAAUUCUAAAAAUAAGAAUAGCUGAUGGAAUACCAAAGAGUUACACAAUAUGUGCCACAUGUACUUCGCGCUGAUGCAUACAGAUCAGUUUUUAACGGUAAAAUGGACGAAAUUUUUAACA